rnacentral:rRNA from 1 species
UAUUAAGUCUGAUGUGAAAUCCCGAGGCCCAACCUCGGAACUGCAUUGGAAACUGAUUUACUUGAGUGCGAUAGAGGCAAGUGGAACUCCAUGUGUAGCGGUGAAAUGCGUAGAUAUGUGGAAGAACACCAGUGGCGAAAGCGGCUUGCUAGAUCGUAACUGACGUUGAGGCUCGAAAGUAUGGGUAGCAAACGGGAUUAGAUACCCCGGUAGUCCAUACCGUAAACGAUGGGUGCUAGUUGUUAAGAGGUUUCCGCCUCCUAGUGACGUAGCAAACGCAUUAAGCACCCCGCCUGAGGAGUACGGCCGCAAGGCUAAAACUUAAAGGAAUUGACGGGGACCCGCACAAGCGGUGGAGCAUGUGGUUUAAUUCGAAGAUACGCGAAAAACCUUACCAGGUCUUGACAUACCAAUGAUCGCUUUUGUAAUGAAAGCUUUUCUUCGGAACAUUGGAUACAGGUGGUGCAUGGUCGUCGUCAGCUCGUGUCGUGAGAUGUUGGGUUAAGUCCCGCAACGAGCGCAACCCUUGUUAUUAGUUGCCAGCAUUUAGUUGGGCACUCUAAUGAGACUGCCGGUGAUAAACCGGAGGAAGGUGGGGACGACGUCAGAUCAUCAUGCCCCUUAUGACCUGGGCAACACACGUGCUACAAUGGGAAGUACAACGAGUCGCAAACCGGCGACGGUAAGCUAAUCUCUUAAAACUUCUCUCAGUUCGGACUGGAGUCUGCAACUCGACUCCACGAAGGCGGAAUCGCUAGUAAUCGCGAAUCAGCAUGUCGCGGUGAAUACGUUCCCGGGUCUUGUACACACCGCCCGUCAAAUCAUGGGAGUCGGAAGUACCCAAAGUCGCUUGGCUAACUUUUAGAGGCCGGUGCCUAAGGUAAAAUCGAUGACUGGGAUUAAGUCGUAACAAGGUAGCCGUAGGAGAACCUGCGGCUGGAUCACCUCCUUUCUAAGGA